GCAUGUGCUGUAGUAACUGUAACUCUGUUUAUUUUAGGGUCCACCAGGCCUUCCAGGUCCACCGGGCUUAUCUCUGAACCUAACACUGACUCAGCUAAAAGACCUCACAUAUCUCUCCGACAAGUCCAACUAUCCACUUAUUAAGACCCUGCUGGACUCCCUUCAGCAAGACCUGCGAUUCUUCAUAGAUCCUCCAGAUGGAACUAAGGAGCAUCCGGCCACCACCUGCUUGGAGCUGAUGAUCAGUCAUCCUAACUUAACCAGUGGAAUGUAUUAUAUCGACCCAAAUCAGGGAAGUCCUGCUGAUGCUUUGCUGGUUUAUUGUAACUUCAGUGCAGGUGGACAAACAUGUUUGCCACCCCUGCAGCCACAAGUAAGUACAUUUUUCCUCAGCAUCUGAUGGGGUCAUAUCA
rnacentral:lncRNA from 1 species